UACACUAUUGAAGGCACCUGAGAUGUCAAAAAAUACAGACAAAAGAUAUUGAUUACUUGCUAAACAUUGAUGCGCAUCAAGCUGUAACUGCGCUAUACUCUCCCUAGAAGACCGACCUUUGCGAAAACCAAACUGAUUAUUAGGCAAAAGACAAUUUUGUUCUAUAAAGAACUCGAGACGUUGUUUCAGAAGCUGCUCAAAUAUCUUCCCAACACAAGACGUGAGAGCUAUAGGUCUAUAAGAGUCAGCAUUUAAAACUGCUUCUGUACACCUCUGAUUCCACCAAGGCGACCAAGGAUAUUUAAAAGAUUUUUGUGAACAAGAACUAGUAGCAUUAUUACUAUUAGAACUUUUGGAAAACAGACAGCUAGGGAUUGACUGCUUGGCAGCAGAAAGUAAAAUAUUACAAAAGGAAUUAAAAGCAUCUAUUGAAGAUAAAGUGUCAAAUUUAACAUCAUCCAAAUAAGAAACAACUAAGUUACUAUACAUAUUCCAAUUCACCUGCUUAUAAUUAGGGGAGAUGAUAACUACUGCCCAGAGGACUGUCAAUAACUGACCAGUCACAUAAAAGAGCCAAAGAUGGAGUUACCAAAGUCAAGUCAAGAGCAUUAGGACGCCAAGAUGGAGAUCCUAUUGUGGUAGCUUGACCAUUAUUCAGAAUAACAAGACCAUUCUCAUCUAUAACCUCUAAAACAUCUUUACCUCGAGGCAAUGUAUCAACACAUCCCCACAACAUGUGAUGAGCAUUGAAAUCA